UCAAUGCUGAGUCACAUCUGAUUGAAGAGGGAAGAACUUUGCAUGUCAUAGGCUGUGUACUACAGAUAUGGGAAAAUUAUAGGCUGGACUUGGCAAACCAGGACAUGUCAUGGGGAGUAAGAGAAGAUAGACCUGGAGAAUGAGCUGGGCUGCAGAUAUUAAGCAAUGAUUUACGUCAGGAAAGUUCUUCACUAUGAAAAGCACAAUUGGGCUAAAAGAAGCUACUCACAGGUGGUAACUGUGCCAUAGAACAAGCCAUUGAGCUGUUUGUUCCUGAGAAAUCGUGUGUCUUUCUGUAUGUAUUAUGAAAUUAUUGUUGUUCGGUGCUUUGAUGCGGAAUCCGUUCUAUAAAAAAAUCUAGAUACUUUU